rnacentral:lncRNA from 1 species
AGCAGCUAUGCUAAUGGUGAGAAACAACCACAACACAUUGGAAAUGGGCAUCACAUGUGUAUGCUGGCCCCCAUAACAAUAAGAAGGAAGCUGGGAACCAGAUCCACACUUGCUACCCAGGAGGAGCAGCCUGGGAACCAUUGCAACCCUGCAUCUACUGAGGAUACCAGGAAGGAGGCUGCUCACCAGAGGAAGGAGGGUUCUUCUCCCAGGUGAUGAAAGGGAUAUGAAGUUGCAGAUCCCCAGGCUUUGGAGGUUCCACUCUUUAGGUCUUAGGAGGGGUUUCACAGCUGGGCUGACAGUGAUGAGAAUCACGGACCCAGGUUGUCUCAAGGGCUGUGAAGGUAACGGGUGACCUGUUGUGAUGGAUGCCCUCUAAACUUCCUGUGUGCCAUGAUGGAGUCUUGCCUUUCCUCAGGAUCUGGGGCAAAUGAGGAAGUCAGAAUUGCAUAUUUUUCCUUUCCAGUUAGCACACUACCUCCCUACAGAAGCCUAACUCCUACCAGCACCUCUUCCACCAAUUACUUGUUUUCUAAGUGGAAUCUACAUGGUCUACAUUCUCAUUUUAUUUGUCCUUUUUAUGUAAAUGAUUUCCUUAUAGAUAACAACUUUAUAUCAGAGAUUCAUUUAAAUAUUACCUGCAACUUGAAGAAACAAUCAGAAUCAGACAAAAUUACACUAUCAACUUUGUACACGUCAGUGGAUACAGUAAAGAAUCUCAGCUGUACACCUGGCUGCACAAACAAGGACAGUGGGGCCAAGAGAAAUGAUAUACCUGAGCUCGCAGGUUCCUAGGAAAUACCAGUCACCAAUCUUUCAGCCCAGGGCUCCUUGUACUACUUCGCAUCACCUCUGUGCUGUAACCCAGCUAGGGGGUAUGGUGGGGAGGAAGGUUUCUCCUCACAGAAACAAACUAUACAACUCCCUUACAUUUUAAUCAUGCCAAUCAGACUCUGCCAAGAACUAGGGUUUAGAAAGAGUUGCAAACAAUCAAUUUAUAGAAUUAGAUUUGCACUGAAAGAUGGACUUUCUGUAGAACUGCUAUUUGGUGGAAAGUUCAUGAAUGUCACAGGACUCGGUGGUCUUUGUAACACUGGCUCUUACAAAAGCUAAGCCCCAUGUGAAAGAAGUUGCUGGAACAACAUCAUAGCACCUUUGCUUCAACUUCAAACAAAAAAAAGCUAUGGUAAAAAGCUUUAAUAACAGAUUGAUCGUGAUUUCAUAGGCAACCAAUUAGCAGACGAAACAUUUAACUUUACUUAAAACCAAUAUUCCACUCAAGGAAGAUGAACCCAAAAUGCAUCCUCUUACACUGACCAACACAACUAAGUACAAAUGAAGUCAAUGGUGUACCCCAUUAGCAUGCUGCGCUGUAUGUCAAUAAAACAAGCCCUCCCCCACCCCAAGCCCUGGCCCCUGGCAAACA